ACACACACACACACACACACACACACACAAUUGUUACAUAUGUACACAUUAUCCCCGCAUAAAUGCAUACCCUUCGCACAUAGAAAAUCGCAUAUUCAUCCGAACAUCCCACCAGCAUAAACAACUCCAGGGUUCGAUAAUCGCAGCCCGACCGUGUUCCGCGAUCGAUGAAUCGAUUCUGCCGUUGGUUCUCAUGAUCGAGCGUCGCGACGCGUCACGGAAAGCCUCGGCAUGCCGAGGCGUGCGGCUCGUGAACGCGGUCCGUCACUCGUCGUCGAUGGCCACGGCCGCACCAAAAGUCAUUUUCGUCGUUAAUUAGUUGGCCGAGUUGCGACAAAUUGAAAAAGUUAGUGAGAAAUGGAACGCAAUUUAGUCCGCGGCCGUCGUCACCGGCUAUGGCGUCCCGUUGCCCGCAAUAAUCAAGACUAGCCGAAUCGAAUACCUCUUUUGCCUUGCCCGUGUUUCGUUAUUCCGACGGGCACCGGACCGAUCAAACUUCGAAACAACCUCGCCUCCCCUCCUCCAUCCCCAAGCUCGCGUAAUUUCCGUCCGAUCGGUGGCAAACAAUUCCUAAGAAUACGAGUACCCGCGACACGCCGUUGCCGCGUAAUUGGAAAACUUGAACGCGUCACUGGGCGCAUUCGACUGCACGGUCUCGCGAACCUUCGCGUUAUAUUUACGGAGCGCGCUCGCAAUAACGCGGAGUGUCUUGUUAGCUCGCAAACUCGCCGCGAGAACGAUUCGUAUCGGGCAAAAGGGGGAAAACGUUGUAUCGUGGCUACGACGUGAAUUCGGAUCGCGCCGAAAGACUCGAAGAACCAUCCGAUCGCUUGGCUGACUCGACUUUAUAAUGAAGUGUAUACGAGCACUUUGUCAGGCGUUAGCGAGACAUAAAAAAAGAAAUUUAGGAGGAGUAAUAGCGUAAUAUUACUCGCUUCUUAGUAUUUUAAUUUAACAUAGAACGAAAUGAGAUACAUGAAAACGAAACAUUUUCUAUGAUUUUAACCUAAGGUACAAAUAAUAAGCACAAUUUAAAGUUUUAAUGAGCACCUUGAGGUUGGCGAUGUUUGCAAAAUUUAAUUAAAUGUGAAGUUGGAAACGCUAUACUGAAAACUAAUUUUCAUCUACAGUGAGUGAAAUUUGAGCGAGUAUUCAUUCAUUUAAAAAAUAGAAUUAUCCACAUCAUGGAAGGAACUUAUUUAGGUAAAAAGUCUAACAAUACCAUACAAAACAUGAAGAAUUGUAAGAAAUAUUCACGAAUAAAAAUCAACUUUGUGCCGUUUAAUAACGAAUAAGACACAUGUAACUGUAACACGCUCAAUUUAUUACCAUUGUUUUAAAAAAUGACUAAAAAUCACUUGUUUCUGUCAGCUAGAGCUCUACGUAACCCCUAAAUUAAAAUAAUAAAAAAAAAACUAGAAAAAGGAAAACGAUCAUGUUUACAGUGUGCAUCGUUGAAAUCUCCGAAUUAUUAAAAAUUCACGGUUGACGUGGUCGUUCUGACAUUCGUUCUUUUUUCUUCGCCCGAAGAAAAUUGUAUGAUCUUCCGGGAGUACGAUGUAGGUUGAGAAACGAAGACCCCUUUUAAAGGGAGUUUCUCAAACCCGUUGAACUCGCCAUUUCGUUGAUCUCGGUUUAACACGCGCGCUUCUUCAUCUGUAGUCAUUAUCUGGUUCGCGGUAACGACGAUCAUUAUUUUUUGUUAGUGCACCGUGUAGCGUAAUGACAGGUCAAAGGUCGAUGCGAAGCAAACUUCCUUAACCUGGAGGAAAAUCGCUUGGCGCACUUACUCGCGCUGACGUGGAAUUCCCGUGCAUGUGUUACGUUUUUUCGCAUCGCUUAAACUUUUAUUCACGUUCGCGUUCGUGGCUAUACGAUAUUAUUCAGACUAAUGAAACAUUUUAUUCUGCGUUUGGUUUUAUGAUUGCGAAUACCGAAGGGAUUAUUAAAGAUAUUUUACAACUACUGCAUUUUUGCAUCGAGCAUGAUAAUAACACUCGACAUUCAAAAAAUUAACUUUUAUUUUUACGGAAAAUGAUAGUAUUUCGUUUGUAGUUGAUUGCAGUAACAAUUCGUUUGUAAUUUCAUUCAAUGAACAAAUAAAAAAAAAUUGAAAAAAUGACCAGCAUCCAGCAUUGAGAUAUUUUAAAUCCGUUUUUCCAUGUGAUUCAGCAUCGUUUGUAGUUUUUUUGUAUUGAUUUCCGUUUCGUUUGUAGUCGAAUAAUUUAAAAGUUACAAGCAAUUGUUAAUACGCUUAAAAGGUAACUUAGUAAAUUUUCAAGAUAUUUAAAAUUCGGCUUUUCCAUGUGAUUCGGAAUCAUUUAGCAAUUGAUGAAGUUAUCUAUCGCCUGUAACUGUUAAACUAUUUCACUACAAACGAAAGGAAAAUUACUACGAUCAACUACGAACGAUUCUGAAUUAGCUGGAAAAAGAAGAUUUGAAAAAUCUUUCAAAUUGACGAAGUUAUUCAUAUGUAAAUAUUGAAGUAUCGAAUUUCUU